rnacentral:miRNA from 1 species
UUUAUACGUCGAAUUUUGGUCGCGUCGAAUGCAAUUAAGAUAAUAGAUAAUGAGAUGAUAAACCUCAUGCAUUAAGCUUCAUUAUCUAUUGUUUGAAUUGCAUUCGACGCGACCGAAAUUCGACGCAUAAA